rnacentral:rRNA from 1 species
GACGAACGCUGGCGGCGUGCUUAACACAUGCAAGUCGAACGGAAAGGCCCUGCUUUUGUGGGGUGCUCGAGUGGCGAACGGGUGAGUAACACGUGAGUAACCUGCCCUUGACUUUGGGAUAACUUCAGGAAACUGGGGCUAAUACCGGAUAGGAGCUCCUGCUGCAUGGUGGGGGUUGGAAAGUUUCGGCGGUUGGGGAUGGACUCGCGGCUUAUCAGCUUGUUGGUGGGGUAGUGGCUUACCAAGGCUUUGACGGGUAGCCGGCCUGAGAGGGUGACCGGCCACAUUGGGACAGAGAGACGGCCCAGACUCCUACGGGAGGCAGCAGUGGGGAAUAUUGCACAAUGGGCGGAAGCCUGAUGCAGCAACGCCGCGUGCGGGAUGACGGCCUUCGGGUUGUAAACCGCUUUCGCCUGUGACGAAGCGUGAGUGACGGUAAUGGGUAAAGAAGCACCGGCUAACUACGUG